UUAUUGAAGGGUGGACCUGAAUCUUUCUGAGGUGAUUAAUGGCCUAUUUCAAAAAAUACACUGAUAAUUUGUUGGUUUCCUUUUCCUAAGUACCACCCAGAACAUAAGGCUGCUCUGCAGAAUGGGUGAACCAUUCUGUCUUUGAAAUAUCCUGGGAACACUACCAUGGAGAAGGAAGACUGAGAAGGAAGACUGAGUUCCCCAUC